rnacentral:rRNA from 1 species
GACGAACGCUGGCGGCGUGCCUAAUACAUGCAAGUAGAACGCUGAAGGAGGAGCUUGCUUCUCUGGAUGAGUUGCGAACGGGUGAGUAACGCGUAGGUAACCUGCCUGGUAGCGGGGGAUAACUAUUGGAAACGAUAGCUAAUACCGCAUAAUAGUAGAUGUUGCAUGACAUUUGCUUAAAAGGUGCAAUUGCAUCACUACCAGAUGGACCUGCGUUGUAUUAGCUAGUUGGUGGGGUAACGGCUCACCAAGGCGACGAUACAUAGCCGACCUGAGAGGGGGAUCGGCCACACUGGGACUGAGACACGGCCCAGACUCCUACGGGAGGCAGCAGUAGGGAAUCUUCGGCAAUGGACGGAAGUCUGACCGAGCAACGCCGCGUGAGGGAAGAAGGUUUUCGGAUCGUAAAGCUCUGUUGUAAGAGAAGAACGAGUGUGAGAGUGGAAAGUUCACACUGUGACGGUAUCUGACCAGAAAGGGACGGCUAACUACGUG